AUUGGCUUAAGAGAUGGAUACAAAAUAUUUGAUGUGCUAGAGAAGAAAGAGAACUGAAGAUUCUUUUUCUUCUCUAGCACAAAGAAGAGUAUUUUCAAGUAUGCUAAGUAGCACUAUGCUUGAUGAGCUGGGGAUGAUAUUUUCAGUUGUUGUUUUAACUUCAGUAUAAAUAUCUGAAACAGUAUUUAUUUCAAAAACAAAUAUAUAUGCAAUAGCUGUUUGUAAAUCACAAUAUUGUAAAAGCUUUUUGUUUAGAAAAUUGUGAUGAUAUUUAUAUACUAAAAAAUGAUUUUAUUUUCAACUUGUUGAAUAUUUUCUGUGGAUCCAAUGGACAAUGUGUACAGGCUUGAUCCUACUGAGGUUGUGUGGUAAAUGCGUAGAUAAGAAUGGUAAAGUGAGAGUGACUCUUGACACAACAAAGAGGCAACAGUACAGUUCACAUAAACCUAGGAUCUUUAUUGAGAGAGAGAUAUUGUUUACACAACUCCCAUGGAGGACAAAUACUUUUCUUUUUGCUGAAGAUGUACAGUCUUCUCACUGAUCUCUCGAUGGAAUUCAAAUUAAAAGUCUUUAGUCCAAUUUAUAACAGUCUUCAGUCCACUUU
rnacentral:lncRNA from 1 species